rnacentral:rRNA from 1 species
GAAAGUAAGCAAGGGCAGACGGUGGAUGCCUUGGCUCUCGGAGGCGACGAAGGACGUGAUAAGCUGCGAAAAGCCCGGGGGAGGCGCAAAUAGCCCUUGAUCCCGGGAUAUCCGAAUGGGGCAACCCGGCAGGCUGAAGGCCUGUCAUCCCGUAAGGGAGGCGAACGUGGGGAACUGAAACAUCUAAGUACCCAUAGGAGGAGAAAAUAAACAAUGAUUCCGUAAGUAGUGGCGAGCGAACACGGAAGAGCCCAAACCCAUGUCGUCUAGGCGACACGGGGGUUGUAGGACCACGACGUGGCAAGAUAGAGUCAAGUGGAACGCCUUGGAAAAGGCGGUCAUAGAGGGUGAAAACCCCGUACACGACUGACGAUUGAAGCCUAGUGGCAUCCUGAGUAGCGCGGGGCACGAGAAAUCUUGCGUGAAUUAGCGGGGCCCAUCCCGUAAGGCUAAAUACUCCCGAGAGACCGAUAGCGAACCAGUACCGUGAGGGAAAGGUGAAAAGAACCCCGAGCAGGGGAGUGAAAUAGACCCUGAACCCGUCUGCCUACAAGCGGUCGGAGCGUCGUAAUGACGUGACGGCGUGCCUUUUGCAUAAUGAACCUACGAGUUACCUUCCCCGGCAAGGUUAAGUACCUAAGGUACGGAGCCGAAGCGAAAGCGAGUCUGAACAGGGCGCCAAGUCGGGGGGGGUAGACGCGAAACCGAGUGAUCUACCCUUGGCCAGGUUGAAGGUUGGGUAACACCAACUGGAGGACCGGAUGGGUAAGCGUUGAAAAGCUUUCCAAUGAGCUGAGGGUAGGGGUGAAAGGCUAAUCAAACUCGGAGAUAGCUCGUACUCCCCGAAAUGCAUUUAGGUGCAGCCUCUUUAUAGUAUAUCGUGAGGUAGAGCGACUGAUUGGAUGCGAGGGCUUCACCGCCUAUCAAGUCCAGAUAAACUCCGAAUGCGCGAUAUAUAUUUAAAGGGAGUGAGGGCGCGGGUGCUAAGGUCCGUGUCCGAGAGGAGAAGAAUCCAGACCACCGGCUAAGGCCCCCAAAUGAUCGUUAAGUUGAACUAACGAGGUCGGAUCGCAGAGACAGCUAGGAUGUUGGCUUGGAAGCAGCCAUUCAUUUAAAGAGUGCGUAACAGCUCACUAGUCGAGCGAUCUGGCGUGGAUAAUAAUCGGGCAUAAACGAUCUGCCGAAGCCGUGGAUGUCGCAAGACAUGGUAGGGGAGCAUUCCAUGCCGCGUCGAAGAUGAGGGAUGACCCUUGUUGGAGCGCAUGGAAAAGCAAAUGUAGGUAUGAGUAACGAUAAGGGGGGCGAGAAACCCCCCCGCCGAAAGACCAAGGUUUCCUGAUCAACGCUAAUCGGAUCAGGGUGAGUCGGGACCUAAGGCAAAGCCGAACGGCGCCGCCGAUGGAAGAAUGGGUUAAUAUUCCCAUACUGCCUCAUGGAGUGACGUGGAGACGGAGAAGUGACAGUCCUGCCGGCUGACGGAAUAGCCGGUUGAAGGGUGUAGAUAUUGAUUCCCGUAGGCAAAUCCGCGGGGAGAGUCGAACCUGAGAGUAUACGGAGCGCUUGCGCAACGUAAUAUGGACGUAACCAUGCUCCCGAGAAAAUCCGCUAAACUUAUCCAUGCGGCACCCGUACCGUAAACGGACACACGUGGUCGGGUUGAGAAUACUGAGGCGCUCGAGUGAUUCACGGUUAAGGAACUAGGCAAAUUGACCCUGUAACUUCGGGAUAAAGGGUCCUCGUCGUAAGGCGAGGCGCAGAGAAUAGGUCCAGGCAACUGUUUAACAAAAACACAUGGCUGUGCUAAAUGGAAACAUGAUGUAUACAGCCUGACACCUGCCCGGUGCCGGAAGGUUAAGAGGAGAUGUCAUCCGCGAGGAGAAGCGUUGAAUUGAAGCCCCGGUAAACGGCGGCCGUAACUAUAACGGUCCUAAGGUAGCGAAAUUCCUUGUCGGGUAAGUUC